AUUUGGUGGCGUCAUAGUAGAGUGGGAGCUUCGUUCGUUAAAUGUGAAAGUUUCAUAAUAAUUUACAUAUAUACAGUGUGCCCCGUGCUCCUCUGCUGCAAAAGUCCAUUAGUCUAGGGUGUGACCACUGGUCGGCCUGCUUAAAACACCAAGACUCGGAUUGUCUCACAGAGCUGAGAUAACUGAAGCAGAUGGCGUUGCCUCUGAGCUUAAACAUGUGAGGAGCAGCUGGCAUUGAGAAAUGUCUUGGGAAGUGAAUGAGGCAGACGUGAGGGGAGGACGUCGAAUCACAUGGAAGGGGCGGUUGGCACCAGCGUUGUACCUAGAAGAUGGCAUGUACCCCACGAUGAAUACCUAAACCAUCACCCUUCAUACCUCAACCCCGACUGUUGUGAUUCCCAUCCAUAUUGUGACGCGUGAGGCGCUGCCUUGCACCCAAAAGACGAGGCUGAGUCUGAGCACUUCUGGAAAACCAACUUUCUUCAAAUUUGAACAGGAACAGCGAGGUUAUCUAUUGCAGCGGGCGGGAGCUACCACUCUACUACACGCAGACGCAGGGCAGUGUCGGGGCGACCAGGGCAGUGGCCAAGUUCUACAUUUCCCCGCAUCACCCAUCGCACGACAGACGCGCACGGAGGCGGUGAGCUUGCAGUUGCCUCUGUGACGCUGCGGACCCGCGGUUGCCUAGGCGACGGACGCGUCAAUCCCCGUCGCCCCGUUGGGGGGGUCUCAAAAGAUUUAAAAAAUCCCUCCUAUUAUGGCUGCAUUCAAUCUUCCUCCAAAAGAAAAGUUUCAUAUUAUAAAAUUAAACCCAAAAUGCUUCAGCUUCUUAUAAGCUCAUCAUGUCUACCUGCUCAAAAAGGGCAGAACAACAAUGUAGGCUGCAUUACCGCCACCUACUGGGCUGGAAUGUGAAGCAGAGGAAUGUUAAGGAGAAAAAAAACAUAAAAAUAAAAAACCCAGUGCUUUUCAAAAGCUGAAACAGACAAGACGAUCCUAAUAUACAUGGUGACUCAUUCCUGCCCCACUUUUCUUUGAUUAUCAUAUACACGAUAUUCAUUCAAGAUAUGUGUCACUGUUUUAGGAUGACUACAUUUUUCUGCAAAUGCACGUGUCUCAGGGAUUAACAAAAUACUUCAUCCUCCUCCUCAUCAUCAUAAUCAAGCACAUUCGCUCUAAACAAGGAAUAAUUCAGGCCGGUGCGUGCAAGUCAUAAUCAUGUCGUCAUUACUUCCUACCUUUUAUUAUUUCUUUCUGUUGUAUUCUUUGCCACCGCCUUCUCAAUCUCACAUAAAAAAAAA